rnacentral:rRNA from 1 species
AACGAACGCUGGCGGCAGGCCUAACACAUGCAAGUCGAACGGGUGUAGCAAUACAUCAGUGGCAGACGGGUGAGUAACGCGUGGGAAUCUCCCCAGAGGUACGGAACAACUCAGGGAAACGUUAGAGCUAAUACCGUAUGUGCCCGACGAGGGCGAAAGAAUUCAUCGCCUUUGGUAUGAGCCCGCGUUGGAUUAGCUAGUUGGUGGGGUAACGGCCUACCAAGGCUACGAUCCANAGCUGAUCUGAGAGGAUGAUCAGCCACACUGGGACUGAGACACGGCCCAGACUCCUACGGGAGGCAGCAGUGGGGAAUCUUGGACAAUGGCGCAAGCCUGAUCCAGCCAUGCCGCGUGAGUGAAGAAGGCC